GGAUGCUUGGUGAAGGCUCUAGCCCAGGAGUCAGUACAACUCUUGCCUGUGGGAGCUGGAGAGCCCAAGAACUGACCAGAGACUUGUUGUCUAUGGCUUAGUCAAAGUCCCAGUGAGUUACCUUUGUUGAGGGCCUGGAGACCCCAAUGUCAUAUGGACCAUGACUUCAGGAAGCAGGCACCUGCUCCCCUUCCUGCAGGAUGGCAGCAGAUGAUCCUCCAGAAGCUGCAGGAGACGGAGGAGACGAAUGGCACAUGGCAGGAGGGGGAAGAGAGGAAAAAGGAGCCAGACCCAGGACAGCAGGAUGAAAAUAUCACCUUGAGCAGACAAUCUUCCAGAUGUUGAGAUGGGGAAGGAGAGAAGCCAGGUGAUGUCAUCAACCCUCAUUUAUACAUUUUCUCCUUGCAUGACAUGAUGGCUAAGUAGUCCCCAUUGUGAAUGUGCCCUAUCUGAGGGAAUCUCUGGGGGCAUGGAUUCUUCUUGAUGGGCCAUCAACAUGUCUGGCUGGUCCUGAUGUAAAUCUGUUUUGUCAGUGUUAGUUACUCCUUUGUUGCCACUGAAAGGCUAGCUGUGGGAAUUUCCCAUUUGCCUCAUUUCAGUAACACACACACAGCAAUACUUCAUAACUUCUG